rnacentral:rRNA from 1 species
GGCCGCGGGAAUUCGAUUCAGGCCUAACACAUGCAAGUCGAACGGCAGCACGGAGCUUGCUCUGGUGGCGAGUGGCGAACGGGUGAGUAAUAUAUCGGAACGUACCCUAGAGUGGGGGAUAACGUAGCGAAAGUUACGCUAAUACCGCAUACGAUCUAAGGAUGAAAGUGGGGGAUCGCAAGACCUCAUGCUCGUGGAGCGGCCGAUAUCUGAUUAGCUAGUUGGUAGGGUAAAAGCCUACCAAGGCAUCGAUCAGUAGCUGGUCUGAGAGGACGACCAGCCACACUGGAACUGAGACACGGUCCAGACUCCUACGGGAGGCAGCAGUGGGGAAUUUUGGACAAUGGGCGAAAGCCUGAUCCAGCAAGGCCGCGUGAGUGAAGAAGGCCUUCGGGUUAUAAAGCUAUUGGGUCAGGGAAGAAACGGUGAAGGCUAAUAUCUUUUGCUAAUGAC